rnacentral:sRNA from 1 species
CCAGGUCGAGUCUUUCAAUUAUCUUAGGCUAAUGUGGAACAGCAGAUCCUGAGUCUCAAGUGUUAAAAAUAAACACCAGGACUCUGCUGUUGGUCUGAAUCAUCUCCAAGGGUCAUGUGCUCUGCAGUUCAACUUGAAGGUUGCCUAAAAAGGUGGAUCAAGCUGUAUGGAGAUGGCGUCAGUUGACUUGAGGUUCCCCAAGAAGAUUGAAAAUGUAUGAAGACUCCAGCUGAUAUGCAAGAUGUCUGCAUGUGGCCAAUCGUUUCAGAUUUUCUGACUUAAAAUGGAGAUGAAUGACCCGUCAUUAAAGUAGUCUUCAUGGACUCCCAUCCAGUAUCUUCAUGACUGCCAUCCUUGUGUCUUGUUGACAGGUACAGUGGCCAGCUCUCCAUAGUGCAAUAUGAAGAAUGUUACUUGGAGGUGUCCAAAGGGCUUCAGCCUCUGCAGUUUUGAAAAGGGUAUGGUUUUCCCAUGUUUGUGUUCAGUGUCUUGUAACCUGUGAUGAAAUGAUUCUGCCAAAUGAAUCCUAAUGAUUAUACCCCAACCGUUCCAUAUUUCUGAGGUUAACUUGAACUUUUACUUGAAACCCUUAAAGUUUACAUGUUGCUAAAUUUAUUUGUCUUUCCUUGCAGGAUGAAGUUGAGUUCAUCUGGUUGACUUUUUGGGUGAAGUUUCAGUUGCCCCUCCCUUUGUUCAAAGGGCCUCAUCCUCUGUAAAAGAAUGAAGUUGUGUGCAUCUGCUUGACUGAGGAUUUUU